rnacentral:rRNA from 1 species
UACGUAGGGUGCGAGCGUUUGUCCGGAAUUAUUGGGCGUAAAGCGCGUGUAGGCGGCUUUGCAAGUCGGGUGUGAAAGCCCUCAGCUCAACUGAGGAAGUGCGCCCGAAACUGCAGAGCUUGAGUGCCGGAGAGGGUGGCGGAAUUCCCCCAAGUAGAGGUGAAAUUCGUAGAUAUGGGGAGGAACACCGGUGGGCGAAGGCGGC